AGACUUUGAUCCUGGCUCAGGAUGAACGCUAGCGGCAGGCUUAAUACAUGCAAGUCGUGGGGCAGCAGGGGUAGCAAUACCCGCUGGCGACCGGCAAACGGGUGAGGAACAUGUACGCAACCUACCUUUGACUGGAGGAUAGCCCCUCGAAAGAGGGAUUAAUACUCCGUAACAUAAUGAAGUGGCAUCGCUUUAUUAUUAUAGCUCCGGCGGUUAAAGAUGGGCGUGCAGCUGAUUAGGCAGUUGGCGGGGUAACGGCCCACCAAACCUACGAUCAGUAACUGGUGUGAGAGCACGACCAGUCACACGGGCACUGAGACACGGGCCCGACUCCUACGGGAGGCAGCAGUAAGGAAUAUUGGUCAAUGGAGGCAACUCUGAACCAGCCAUGCCGCGUGAAGGAUUAAGGCCCUCUGGGUUGUAAACUUCUUUUAUAUGGGAAGAAAUGUUCUGAUUCUUCAGAGCUUGACGGUACCAUAGGAAUAAGCACCGGCUAACUCCGUGCCAGCAGCCGCGGUAAUACGGAGGGUGCAAGCGUUAUCCGGAUUCACUGGGUUUAAAGGGUGCGUAGGUGGGCAGAUAAGUCAGUGGUGAAA
rnacentral:rRNA from 1 species